rnacentral:ncRNA from 1 species
GUUUCUCAUAGGCAAACCCUUCGAAAGCAGGGGGCGCAAAGUCAUUGGGUCUAAGUCUUUUCUCCUAACAAGGAAUGGGAUACGACAGCCAGACUGCCGAA